GGUAGAAUGGCUGAGAUUUAUAGGCGGUAAACUGUAAAUUUAUUUAGGAGAAAUAUCUCUUCUACCA
rnacentral:tRNA from 1 species